UACGGAGGGUGCGAGCGUUGUCCGGAAUCACUGGGCGUAAAGGGCGCGUAGGCGGCUGGGGAAGUCAACGGUGAAAGCUCGGGGCUCAACUCCGAGUCGGCCGUCGAUACUCUCCGGCUGGAGCACAGUAGAGGCAGGUGGAAUUCCGGGUGUAGCGGUGGAAUGCGUAGAGAUCCGGAAGAACACCGGUGGCGAAGGCGGCCUGCUGGGCUGUUGCUGACGCUGAGGCGCGACAGCGUGGGGAG
rnacentral:rRNA from 1 species